rnacentral:rRNA from 1 species
GACGAACGCUGGCGGCGUGCCUAAUACAUGCAAGUCGAACGCAGGGGGGACGGGUGAGUAACACGUGGGUAACCUCCCAUCAGAGGGGAUAACACUUGGAAACAGGUGCUAAACCGAUACUGAUGGAUGGACCCGCGGUGCAUUAGCUAGUUGGUGGGGUAACGGCUCACAAAGGCCACGAUGCAUAGCCGGGCUGAGAGGGUGAUCAGCCAAUCUGGGAAUGAGACACGGCCCAGAACCAAACGGGAGGCAGCAGUAGGGGAUCUUCGGCAAUGGUCGAAAGCCUGGACGAGCCACGCCGCGUGAGUGAAGAAGGUUUUCGGAUUGUAAAACUCGGUUAGUAGAGAAGCGAUAGCUACCUAGAAAGCCACGGAUAACUACGUGCCAGCAGCCGCGGUAAUAC